GGCAGAGCGCGUCUCCGCCUUUUCCUCCGCGUGGCCCGUUCCGGCUCCUCUCCGCGGCGUGGGCUGCAGGCACCGGUAGACUUGCUGUCCGAGCCAUCGCUCUCGCUGUCCCACUCGUCUGGGUCGGAAGCGAAGCCGUCGGGUGAAAAUAGAACCGCGUGGCCGAGCAGCUGCUCCUGAUCCGGUGACCGAGCGAGGGUCCGCUCCGGAUCAGCAUAGUAUUUCUACUCAAUGACGGCUGUUUUCUGGGUCGCCAGCUCGCGGCGGAGAAGGGAAGACAGGUGCGUGUGCUUGUCUGUGUGCGCGCGCGUGUGUGUGUGUUGACACACACCUGUUUUGCUGUAAGAUGUGAGAAAUAAACGUUGGCCUACAGAGACUGGUACUUUUCAAAUGACAUUUUUAUUUGAACCUGUUUUCUACUUAUUGUGUCAAAAUGGGCGGCCAUCGGUAGUAGAGCGGUACAUGGUGCUACCUUACAUGGAGCGAGUUUUUCUUUUUUUAGCUCGAUUUGCCCGAUUUACCCACAAUGCUCAGUUUCCAGCUGCCAUUUUUAAGGAAAUGCACACAAAAGGAAAACACCAGAGAAGUCUUAUCCAUUGUUAUCAUUAUUAGUCAUCAGUCUGCUUACUUCUAGUUUUGUGCAAAGGGUCCUUAGUAGAACACCUGUUCAUACCAGGUAUGUUAAAAAAAAUUAAGUUGGUUGGAGAGAAAGAUGACAGGAAGACACAGACCGCACAGAUAAACUUUCCCAACCAGACUGGUCAAAAAUAAAGCCAGUUGUUCUCAAAGUGAGCUAUCACAACAUACGUGAUCGUAAAAAGGAGUUGCUCUUUUUGGGAGGAUUUUGAUGCUGUCAAGAACUUGCGUCCAACUGGUUGGAGGAUGUCGGCUGCAUUCAACACAACCAUCUUUGUCAGCAGAGUCACAAACAUCAGGACCAACGCAGCGGCCGCCAUUUAUGCACAUGUGCUCGCAUACGCCUGAGGAAACGGAGAGAGACGAUUUUGGGAAGCAAGCAGCGUCUCCCGGUGUAGCCCUGCAGGCACCAACAGACGUUGUUCCUCGUGCACACACCGCCAUUCUUGCAGGGCGGUGUGCAAAUGGCUGCAAACAGAAAGUGGGAUGGCAUCAGUGCAGCCAAAGCAGAGG